rnacentral:misc_RNA from 1 species
UGCGGGCAGUCAUGUGAU